GUGCUCGCUUCAGCAGCACAUACACGAAAAUUGCAAUGAUGCAGAGAAGAUUAGCAUGGCUCCUGUGCAAAUUUGCCAAGCGUUCAGCAUUUUUUU
rnacentral:snRNA from 1 species